rnacentral:rRNA from 1 species
GGCGUAGGCGGUUCGGUCUGUCGGGUGUGAAAUCCCUUGGCUCAACCAAGGAAUGGCGCCCGAUACUACCGGACUUGAGGCAUUUAGGGGCGACUGGAACUCUCGGUGGAGCGGUGAAAUGCGUAGAUAUCGAGAGGAACGCCAAUGGUGAAGACAGGUCGCUAGGGAUGUCCUGACGCUGAGGCCCGAAAGCUAGGGGAGCGAACG